rnacentral:lncRNA from 1 species
UCACCACCUCUAGACCCAGAAGGUCAAGAAGAGAGGUUACUGGAACCCCAAAAGGGAGAGUAUCAUGUAGAUUACGCCAAUUUGAGAGAAGUAGUGAUCUGUUGAGGCACAUGGCCAGCCUGAAGUUAUCUCAGAGGGAAGGAACAGGGGGAAUAAAUACCCUGAUUCACUCUCUUCUUCCUCCCAUCUCCUGCCUAGGCUCUCCACUGGCCCAGCUCAACAGGAAGUCAGAAGACGUGGAAGCCCAUUGAUGCAACCCAUAUACAUAAGCCUUCAAAAGGAACUGAAGAGAAAUUUUAGUCAAGAAAAGCUACAGAAUUGAAAUGAG